rnacentral:rRNA from 1 species
CCUACGGGUGGCAGCAGUGAGGAAUAUUGGUCAAUGGACGAGAGUCUGAACCAGCCAAGUAGCGUGAAGGAUGACUGCCCUAUGGGUUGUAAACUUCUUUUAUAUGGGAAUAAAAUGUUCCACGUGUGGGAUUUUGUAUGUACCAUAUGAAUAAGGAUCGGCUAACUCCGUGCCAGCAGCCGCGGUAAUACGGAGGAUCCGAGCGUUAUCCGGAUUUAUUGGGUUUAAAGGGAGCGUAGGUGGAUUGUUAAGUCAGUUGUGAAAGUUUGCAGCUCAACCGUAAAAUUGCAGUUGAAACUGGCAGUCUUGAGUACAGUAGAGGUGGGCGGAAUUCGUGGUGUAGCGGUGAAAUGCUUAGAUAUCACGGAGAACUCCGAUUGCGAAGGCAGUUCACUGGACUGCAACUGACACUGAGGCUCGAAAGUGUGGGUAUCAAACAGGAUUAGAUACCCUAGUAGUC